AUUGAACGCUGGCGGCAUGCCUUACACAUGCAAGUCGAACGGCAGCACGGGAGCAAUCCUGGUGGCGAGUGGCGAACGGGUGAGUAAUAUAUCGGAACGUGCCCAGUCGUGGGGAUAACGUAGCGAAAGCUACGCUAAUACCGCAUACGAUCUAUGGAUGAAAGCGGGGGAUCGCAAGACCUCGCGCGAUUGGAGCGGCCGAUAUCAGAUUAGGUAGUUGGUGAGGUAAAGGCUCACCAAGCCGACGAUCUGUAGCUGGUCUGAGAGGACGACCAGCCACACUGGGACUGAGACACGGCCCAGACUCCUACGGGAGGCAGCAGUGGGGAAUUUUGGGACAAUGGGCGCAAGCCUGAUCCAGCAAUGCCGCGUGCAGGAUGAAGGCCUCGGUUGUAACUGCUUUGUACGGAACGAACGGUGAGCUCUAAUACAGUUUGCUAAUGACGGUACCGUAAGAAUAAG
rnacentral:rRNA from 1 species